UUCGAAGGGUGCAAGCGUUACUCGGAAUUACUGGGCGUAAAGCGUGCGUAGGUGGUUUGUUAAGUCUGUUGUGAAAGCCCCGGGCUCAACCUGGGAAUGGCAGUGGAAACUAGGGGACUGGAAUCUGGCAGAGGGGGGUGGAAUGCCGCGUGUAGCAGUGAAAUGCGUAGAGAUGCGGCGGAACACCGAUGGCGAAGGCAGCCCCCUGGGCUGAGAUUGACGCUCAGGCACGAAAGCGUGGGGAGCAAACAGG
rnacentral:rRNA from 1 species